UUAUUAGCAUUAUGCAUGUUCCAUAUUUACAAAUAAUCUGUAAUUACAAAGAAAUGGCCGUUUCAUUUAGAAUACCCAAGUUGAUAAAGAAAAAAAAAACUAAAGAAUAAAUAAAUGCAAUAAAAUUAAAUUAUUUUCCUUAAGAACCAACCAAAUAAAUUAACCCUUUCUCGAAACCUUGUCCUGUCAUCGCUCAUCUCAUCACAUUCCAGAAAAGCGCGUCCGAGAAAAGCAUAAUCCAAGUCGAAAAGGUCCCAAACGUGCAACUAACAAACACGGCCUUGUCCUCGAAUAGAGCUUGAUUUUGAUUGCGAAACAAACACGGAUCAGGGUGGAGAAGAAGACGAAGGAAGCAGAAAACGACGACGUAGAUCGAGGAUGGUGCUGAACAGCAACUUGGUGGCGAGAGUGGCGCACGCUUCAGCGCAUCUUUUCCAAUUCAUAGCUUGCAAUCCCGAGAGGCUUAGCAGCGACGUCGUUUUGCACCUCCUCUUCUGCCUCCCUUUCCACUACCUCUUCCGCUCUCUCUUUUCCUACCUUGGCUAUCGUCAUCCACAUUCCGAUUGAGAAUAUCCUCUCUAUUAUAUGCAAUCGUACUUCAGCUCUUUCCUACUGUUUUCCCAUCUUGAGACACACAAAUCAGUUGGUUGGGUACUCAAUACUCAUGGGUGAGGCAGGGAAGGUAAAGGGUAAUAAGCUUGAAUUAUGAUGCCGAUACUUUUAUUAUUUCAUCAUUUUUUUAACACUGCGUUAUUAAGAAGUGAGAUUGUACAAAUGACAUGUAAUGGUUUUAAUAGAUUUUGUGUGUCCUUCUUGUUAGAGAACACUGUAGGUUUUGAGAGGGGAAGGAGAAGACUAGAUUGCAGGGCUUAUUGUCUCUUUUUCUUUCUCUCUCAGUAGAGAAUCCAAAUUCCUCUGGAAAUAUUGUAUGACGAUCAUAGUGAAGUGGAUAAUGAGCUACACUAAGCAAUUUAUAAAA